rnacentral:rRNA from 1 species
UACGUAGGUGGCAAGCGUUGUCCGGAUUUAUUGGGUUUAAAGGGUGCGUAGGCGGCCAUUUAAGUCAGUGCUGAAAUACUCUAGCUUAACUAGAGGGGUGGCAUUGAUACUGAUUGGCUUGAGUGAAGUCGAAGUAGGCGGAAUUGACGGUGUAGCGGUGAAAUGCUUAGAUAUCGUCAAGAACACCGAUAGUGAAGACAGCUUACUAGACUUCAACUGACGCUGAGGCACGAAAAGUGUGGGGAUCAAACAGG